UUAGUUUGGAAUUUUAGGAAUACUAUAUUACUUCAAACUCCACGAAAUAUUACAUAUAUAUAACACUUUCAAUUUCGAUACUGUAACACUAUACAAAUUUACCAUAACUUGAACUCUUUUUAAAGUAGGAGUCCUUUAGAUAUACUUAUACUAUUUUUAAUUAACAUGUGAGUGUGUUGUGAUUGAAAAGUUUACAAAAAGACAUCAUUUACGAAAAGAAGCAUGUGUUAAUACAUAAAAUAAAAAGUCGUGAUAUUUUUACUGUCUUCCCAGUCCUCGAUCAGUAACAGGUUCCCUGGCUCCCAUGCCACAACAGCUGUAAAAACACAUUGCCGUAGUUCAAAAUUCUCAAAAGAAAAAUAAAUAAUAAUAUUGAAAACUCACACAUAAUGUAUAAGAAGUGGAAUGAAACAGAUGUUAUACCUUUGAAACGAAUGACUUCAUAAAAAGUGUUGAAAAGAUGCCUCCGAGCUGGCAUCCCACCUUGAGAUACAUAAGUUUAU
rnacentral:lncRNA from 1 species